UUUUAAUUUUAUCUAUAUCUCAUUUCGCAAUUACUAUCUACAUCCUGGAAUUGAGGGUGUUAAUAUUCGUUCUUCAGUUAAUACUUGAGAGUAUACCUAUAGUGUAUCUGCUCCAUUUGUAUUCACCGAUUUGGAUGUUCCGAACUGUACAAAUACUGUAUCAGGAAUUCAAGAAUUUUAUUAGCUUUCCUCCUAUAAGGGGUAAGUCCUAUUAACAUGUUCCUCGAGAAUUCAAUUAGGUUACUUAUAUAUUAUUAUAAUUAUGUUAGGGACUGAGGGAGCUCUCAUAAAGACUUUCCUCUCAAGAUUUGAAAUUGAAGAGCAUUUUGAAAGGAGAUUUGUGUGCUGUUCUUUUCCAUUUCUCAAGGCAGGAUCCACCGCCUAUCAAAAGGUGCUUGGAAUUCAAAAUCGAUCAGGAAAAAGGUCAGAUCUGUCCAUUUUGAGCAAUUUGUAGAAUUACUUUGUAAAUAAUUAGGAAUAAGUAUUUUAGGAUUAGAUUCAACAAGGUACCUUGGGAUUUUUGGGAAUUUUGGAUCAAUAGAUUGUUAUUGAAGUUUCA